AUUGAACGCUGGCGGCAUGCCUUACACAUGCAAGUCGAACGGCAGCGGGGGAGAAGCUUGCUUUUCCUGCCGGCGAGUGGCGAACGGGUGAGUAAUACAUCGGAACGUGCCCUGUAGUGGGGGAUAACUAGUCGAAAGAUUAGCUAAUACCGCAUACGACCUGAGGGUGAAAGUGGGGGACCGCAAGGCCUCAUGCUAUAGGAGCGGCCGAUGUCUGAUUAGCUAGUUGGUGGGGUAAAGGCCUACCAAGGCGACGAUCAGUAGCUGGUCUGGGAGGACGAUCAGCCACACUGGGACUGAGACACGGCCCAGACUCCUAUGGGAGGCAGCAGUGGGGAAUUUUGGACAAUGGGCGAAAGCCUGAUCCAGCAAUGCCGCGUGUGUGAAGAAGGCCUUCGGGUUGUAAAGCACUUUUGUCCGGAAAGAAAUGGCUCUGGUUAAUACCUGGGGUCGAUGACGGUACCGGAAGAAUAAGGACCGGCUAACUACGUGCCAGCAGCCGCCGUAACAC
rnacentral:rRNA from 1 species